AUGUUUUUUUUCAAAAAAAAAGAAAACCCGCGCUGCUGUCCACACAAUCACACAAACCACCACCAUAUCCACCUCACCUGGCCCCGCCGUCGCCAUGCCCGACUCGGCCUCGCCGCCGCCGCCGCGCCAACGAUGCUCCCCUCCCUCGCCGCCACGCCGCUUCCCAACACCUCCACUCACCGGAGCCCCUCAUCCUCAUCCUCCUCCUCCUCCGUCCAGCUCCUCCGCUCGCUCGCGCGCUCCCGCCGCGCGGACCUCGCCCACCGCGCGCUCCUCCUCUUCCGCUCCCUCCACGCCUCCCCGUCCCCGCCGCCCCCGCACUUCUCCCUCCCGGCGGCGCUCUCCGCCGCCUCCUUCCUCUCCGCGCUCCCCGAGGGCCGCCAGCUCCACGCGCUAGCGGCCAAGCUCGCGCUCGCCCCAGCCCACACCGUCGUCGCCAACUCCCUCCUCCACCUCUACGCUUCCUGCGGCCUCCCCGACGCCGCGCUCGCGCUCUUCCGGCUCAUCCCCGCCAAGUCCCUCGUCUCCUGGAACACCGCCAUCGACGCGCUCGCCAGCAACGGCGACCACCUCGGCGCGCUCGACCUCUUCCGGGAGAUGCAGCGGGACACGACCCUCGCGCCCGACGCCUACACCGUGCAGAGCGUCCUCGGCGCGUGCGCCGGCGCGGGCGCGCUCUCGCUCGGUGUCUACGCGCACGCGCUGCUGCUGCGCGAGCUCGGGGGCCACGGCGACGUGUCCCGCGACGUGCUCAUCAACAACUCGCUCGUCGACCUUUACGGCAAGUGCGGAGCCGUCGAGCUCGCGCGGCAGGUGUUCGACCGGAUGCCCGAGCGGGACAUCACGUCGUGGAACGUGGCGAUCCUCACGCUCGCCAACCACGGAUGCGUGCGUGAGUCCGUGGAGCUGUUUGAUCGGAUGACGCGGGUGGAGAAUGUUGUGCCGAACGCAAUCACGUUCGUCGCUGUUCUUAGCGCGUGCAACCAUGGCGGGAUGGUGGAGGAAGGCAGAAGAUACUUCCAGAUGAUGGUCAGCGAGUACAGGAUCAAGCCGAGGAUCGAGCACUACGGGUGCAUGGUGGACAUAUUGGCACGAGCUGGCUUCAUCGGAGAGGCCCUGGAUGUCGUGUCUGGCAUGAACUGCCGGCCUGAUGCCAUCAUCUGGAGGAGCCUUCUAGACGCAUGCUCCAGGCAGAACGCCGGGGUAGAGCUUAGCGAGGCCAUGGCCAAGCUGGCACUCGAUGUUCCGGAUGAUGCUGUCAGUGGUGUCUACGUCCUGCUCUCGAGGGUCUACGCAUUCGCACAGAAGUGGAACGAUGUGGGCAUGGUCCGGCGGUUGAUGAGCGACGAGGGUCUCAAAAAGGAGCCAGGGUUCAGCUCCAUUGAAAUGGAUGGCCUGGUUCAUCAGUUUGUCGCAGGCGACACGUCACACCCUCGGUCGGAGGAGAUAUACGCGAAGCUGGAUGAGAUCCAGCAGAGGCUUGCGUCCUCUGGAUACAAGCCAGACUUAUCAGAGGCUCGUAUGGUUGCUGGCAUGGACCAUACCAAGGGCGCCGCCCUCCGCUUGCACAGUGAGCGGCUAGCCAUAUCGUUUGGUUUACUCAAGGCGACACCCGGUGCACCUAUUCGGAUCCUGAAGAACCUGAGGGUGUGCAAAGACUGCCAUACUAUCAGCAAGCUCAUAUCAGAGCUCUAUGGUGUUGAGAUCAUUGUUAGGGACCGGAUUCGGUUUCACCAUUUCAAGGAUGGAGCAUGUUCCUGCAAAGACUACUGGUGA
rnacentral:rRNA from 1 species